ACAUCACAACUAUCCUGCCUCCACCGGGAACACCAGCAGCAGCGGCCGUCGCGGCGCACGGGCGGCCGCACCACAGCUUGCUGCCAGUGCGCCAGUUCCCCGCCGACCUCCGCAUUCCCCUAGGUUCGUACUCCUCCGCGCGUCCUCUUGGGAACUAGGAACUGGCGCGAAGAUUACCUGAUGCGCGUGCUCUUUAGGAGCUUAUUAGGGAUUUCAGGAUUUGGGCCGCCUAGUAUUAUUCUACUCUGUAGCUUUUGUCCCCGUGAUGCAAAAUGAGCGCACGCAGUUCCUAAUUAAACGUGCAUCGAGCUUAUCGAAUUGCUCGAAUGAGGCGUCGAAUGCAUGGCAGAAUCUGAUCUACUCCGUAUAUAUGAGUAUACUGUUCAUACGACAGGGUUUCUUCCAUGAUUAUACUCAUUGUGGUGUUUGCUGAUUUGGGUCCUUUGGGCUUUGUAUCCGUAGGAGUAUUGCAGGUUUUCUGCUCGUGGUUUUUGUAUAAAUUCCUUUCCUUUUUCUCUUAUGCGCCGACUUGAGCUCAUCAAGUGAUAAUCUGAGAUGGCAUGUAGUAUUUCCCCUGUCCUCUCCAUGCUCCAUCAAGAGAUAUUUGCAAAUUUUAUGUUGCCCUGGUAAGAGCCAGGACCCUCCCGUGACUCCCAUCAUUGUUUGAUUCUAGUAAUGCUUUUUUUGUGAGCUUGUUACAUUGCUUUCUUCUGGUUGUUGGUAGCAUGAAGAGCGCAUGAUCUAGUUCAGUUGGCAGCAUGAAAAGUGCAUAGCCUAAUUCUUGAAGCAAUUUCAUUAUUGCUCUACCCAUGUGAUAUUUGUUUGGGUCCAAUGUGGCUAGUCCGUACGGCUCAUGCGCUCGUGGGGGCGAGCAGAGACAAUAAUGAGAUUUUGUCCUAUUAAGCAUUGUUGAUAUAUGACCACCGAAUUCGCUGAACAUUAUUGGAGUGGUACAUUUCAUGGCCAUGACUCAUACGUGGCAUUUUUCUUCUGUGAUCUACAAGGACACGGUGAUGCUGAUUAAUAGUGUCAAAUGUUCUAUAUAGUCUGGCAGAUGGUGGAAAGGCUGCUCCUGCUAUAGAAUCGUACUCGAACCUACAUAAUAAGGAUGAUUUUCUCUCUGUACGUUGAAUGUUGGUAUGAUUCAGGAAUUUAUUUGGAGUAUGAAUUCGUAUGGUAAUGGUUGAGAUGCACGUCUAAUCUUCUGUUGUUUAGUUUAUUUCGAGAUUGUACUUUUCUUUUAAAGUGCAAUACAUUGAGUUUCUUUGGUUGUUGAUGGUAGAUACUGGACAUGCUCAGAAAAGUGCAAAUUCUAUACAUUCUAGUAAGACAUAUGUUCUUUUCUAUAUAACCAUGGUUGGUAAAGAUUCAGACCAAUAGUGGGUUGACCUGUAACUGGUAAUGUUCUUUCCACAACAAGGCAGCCUGGCGGAAUGGCAGGAUGUUCACCGGGGAUCAGCUUCUCAGUUUCAUUGUUUUAUAUAUGCAGACUCUGCAGAUUAACUUUGUAUGCGAAUUAUUUGAUAGACAUCUCCACACUCACACCAAAAAAAUGGAUUGCAGAAUGCAUAAGAUUUUUAGUUCUUUCACAUCGAGGCAAAUGGUAAAGAGGUGUUUCAACAGGAAUGCUGAAUAAUCUCUGUUACUUGAUGCAUUCUUAUGUUGCUGAUGAAUAGUUUGAGAGGUGACAAUGCCUCAUUUAAGUACCAGUUCAUUUUCUCUAGUGAUCAAAAGUAAAUAUCUAUAUGUAUCUCCUUAAUAAUUAUAGCUGUGUAAUAGAGUAUUAUCAUCACCAGGCUAGGUUUAACUAAUAUUGAUCAUGCUCAGAGGUUAUGAAUUCUGAUAACUACUCAUCUUAGUCAGAGUUUGGUUGCACACAGCUUUUCAAGUUAGGCAAUACCGUGUGACUUCAAUUAAACCAAGCUUUCUGUUUAGCUGGAAUCCCCAGUCUGGACAACCGAUUCCUAGUGUUUUCUGUAAAGUAUUAAAUGAAGUUAUCAACCUUUUCAAAAUACCAUGAUGUGGAACUGUAUGCAUUUGGCUCUAUAUUCCACAUGGGCGUCAUUCCCAUGCUAAUGCAAAACUAAUUAUCAUGGUGUUAUAUAUUAUGAUUUGUCUAAUGAGCCUGAGAUUGUAAGAUAUGGUUUGUGCCAGAGUUCAACCAUCAGUGGCUUGGUGCGAUGUGUUUGUCGUUGCCGUUGGUUGUGUUUAUGGCUGCCACUUCAGCUGAUACUUGGCUAUGAUAGACAGUCCAAAUUGCAGUAUCAGAGGCACAUGCUCACACAUGGAUGGGCUCCACGUGUUUCAGUAAAGUCAUGCAGCCCCCUGGAGUUGUACCAUUAAGGUACAGGGGACCUUGACAAAUACAUCUGGCUGUGCCUCAUUUUCAGGGUACUUCCUGAAAGAUUUGUCAAGACAGGGCUAGGAGGGGGGGCAGGCAUUUAUGUUGUUUAAAUUAUUAAAUGUUAUCUUAGUUUAGAUUGGUGCCGCAUGAGUGCCCCUACACUAUGAUUUUCCUCCUUUUUGAAAAGUAGCUUACACCUCACAAAGUAAGAAGAAAUGUGGCUGUUGCCCUUCAUUUAUGCUUUGCAUAACUGCAUUCUUAAGCAAGUUUGCAGAUUGAUUUUCCUGACAUUUCUGUUGCUAGUUUGACGAAGAGAGCUUGAUUGAUCUAUGACCAUGUGUAGUGUUUUGUGAUUUUAGAAAAUGGAAGAUAAAAAGGGAAAUAUUAGAUGCUUGUGUAAAAUUAUUGCAUUAGUUUAUGUAGAAGCUAUAAUGCCACAAAUUGAGUGAUGUACAUGUAGUGUCUGGCAUAUGAAGUUGUGCAAAAGACCCAAGCAUCACAUAUGCUAUAUGUCAGGCUUGUAGCUCAGUAGUACAAUUAUGAGCAGUAGUAGUGGGUCUUUUUUCUGGGUGAGCUGACAAAAUAUUUGGCAUGGCUAUGCUGGAAAUAGUGAAUCUGACGAUUGGGGCCAGCUUAGCUGGUUUAUUCCCAUACACUCCAAGAGAAAGUGGGCUGAAAAGAAUUGAUGCCAAGCUACAGAAGUACCGCAGCAUUUGGAGCUUAGCGGACAAGACAUCAAGUCAAGUAUUGGUUCAAUCAAGCUUCUUAUAGCAGAAGCAUAAGAUGAAUAUGUGGUGAUACCACAUAGAUCAUGGUUUCACGACAUAUACUUGCUUCACAUCAUCUGAUAUUCAUAGUGGAACGAUCACUGGAUGUGUUGUACGUCUAUGGAGUAAUUAUGGUGCGCACGUGCUUAUCAUAGAAGUAUUGUUACCAGGACCGGAGGCAUGCCUAAGUUGCUUGGACAUAGACAUGUGAUGCUGGUACGCUAUGAUAUGGAUGUGUCAAGAAAAUACUAGCAGGUUCAACAUGUAAUUUUAUUCUCAUGUUCUCUAUUUUAGUCCAGUGCAGUUCAAUGACAAUUAUGUUGCACUGGAACAGACUAUUAUCAAACUGCAAAGAACCUAUAGUCUUUAUCAUGCCUGAUGUCCAGCAUGUCAGUAAAGUGUGUUACUUCUUUUGGAAAAUGGUGAAACCCCUAAUUGGCAUCUGUCGUACCAUUUAAUAUGUUUCAGUUCAGUAGUUCUGAUUGUGUUGCCUUGCACUCUUGCUACUCCAUGUUGCGUAAUCUCAAGUACAUGACAUAUUAAGACCCUCGCUAACAGAGAUUUUCUUCGGUGACAGAUGUUACGUUACUUCUGUGCAAUGCUGUUCGGGGCAUGAAGAUGUGCACCUAUUAGAAUACGAAGUUAAAACAUAAUGUAGACUAUUCUAGAAAUGGACAUGAUAUAAUGGAUAUGGUAAGUUAUUAGACUCUUCUAAUCGUCCUUGUACUUGGCAUGCCGUCAUGGUGUAUCCGCCAUCAGUUUAUUCAGCAUUAUUGCAGUUCUGUUACAUGUUGCUGUCAGACACCUGGUUCUUAAGGGUUCACAUUCGGAGUUAGACUUUAAAAUAGCAAGUGGACAGCGGCUACUGAUGAUCUGGAGAGAGACCGGUCAAGACUUAUUUCCUCGCUGAUAGCUGAAAAACCUGAGAAGUCUUGACGCACAUUGAUUCUUGGAUGCUUCACAAAUGGGACUGUACUAAGGUAAGAUCUGCCCGAAGGUUACUUUUCUGCCAUAAUCACUGGAGCAUAUAUUGAUGUGACGCAUUCGCCUAUAUCUCACAUGGUUAGAAAGGGAUCCCGCACAGUUGUACUUGAA